rnacentral:rRNA from 1 species
UACGUAGGGGGCGAGCGUUAUCCGGAAUUAUUGGGCGUAAAGCGCGCGCAGGCGGCCGAUUAAGUCAGGUGUGAAAGGCUGCGGCUCAACCGCAGAGCGGCACCUGAAACUGGUCGGCUUGAGUGCAGGAGAGGGGAGUGGAAUUCCCGGUGUAGCGGUGAAAUGCGCAGAUAUCGGGAGGAACACCAGUAGCGAAGGCGGCACUCUGGGCCGGUACUGACGCUGAGGAGCGAAAGCGUGGGGAGCAAACAGG